GUCCACGGUUGACAAGUUCUUAAGAGUCAAGAAAUGAUUAUGGCCCCUAAGCAAGGAUGACAUGCAAAUUUGUGAAGCUUUCCAUAUUUAA
rnacentral:snRNA from 1 species